CAACCACAUCAUCAACAUUAAGGGACAUGUGGUCCUUGUCAGUAACAACCACAUCAUCAACAUUAAGGGACAUGUGGUCCUUGUCAGUAACAACCACAUCAUCAACAUUAAGGGACAUGUGGUCCUUGUCAGUAACAACCACAUCAUCAACAUUAAGGGACAUGUGGUCCUUGUCAGUAACAACUACAUCAUCAACAUUAAGGGACAUGUGGUCCUUGUCAGUAACAACCACAUCAUCAACAUUAAGGGACAUGUGGUCCUUGUCAGUAACAACUACAUCAUCAACAUUAAGGGACAUGUGGUCCUUGUCAGUAACAACCACAUCAUCAACAUUAAGGGACAUGUGGUCCUUGUCAGUAACAACUACAUCAUCAACAUUAAGGGACAUGUGGUCCUUGUCAGUAACAACCACAUCAUCAACAUUAAGGGACAUGUGGUCCUUGUCAGUAACAACCACAUCAUCAACAUUAAGGGACAUGAGCAGCUGUGAGGAGGAGGGUUUAUUCUCCAGGUCUUUACCUGUUUUCCAGAACUUCUUGAGAUGAGACCCACAGAGAGAGAAAGUAACUAACGUUGGCCUUCCGGAUAGCCUGAGUGAACUUAUUUCUCAUUUGCCUAAACGAGAACCAGUCAGCCUGAGUAUGCGUGUUCCGAGCCUUUCGCCAAAUGCAAUUCUCGAGGUGGAAAAAUUAUAAUUUUCUUUAUGGGGGUGUGUUUGUUAACAAUCGAAAUAAAAGGUCCAAGCGUCUUCGACAGAGGGGAUCAAGCUUAUUCUAUACCAAUUUACCGAGGCCAGGUCAUGAAGGACUUAGACUCUGAUACCUAUCAGGAUUAUUUGUGAGGACAACAACAAGGGGGUUUAGCCUUUUCUGGGUGUUUGGAGUCAUACCUCGUGGGAUUGGUAAUAAUCUGCGAAAGAUUUAGGGAGUCCCAUUGCUUUAGGACUUGGUCAGGUGGUUUAAGCCUGUCCCAGUUUAGGUCACCUAAGCAGGACAAAUUCAGACUUAGUGAAAGGGGCCAGGAGAAAGCUUAGGGCAGGUAGGGGACAGGAGAGAGCUUAGGGCAGGUAGGGGACAGGAGAGAGCUUAGGGCAGGUAGGGGACAGGAGAGAGCUUAGGGCAGGUAGGGGACAGGAGAGAGCUCAGGGCAGGUAGGGGACAGGAGAGAGCUUAGGGCAGGUAGGGGACAGGAGAGAGCUUAGGGCAGGUAGGGGACAGGAGAGAGCUCAGGGCAGGUAGGGGACAGGAGAGAGCUUAGGGCAGGUAGGGGACAGGAGAGAGCUUAGGGCAGGUAGGGGACAGGAGAGAGCUUAGGGCAGGUAGGGGACAGGAGAGAGCUCAGGGCAGGUAGGGGACAGGAGAGAGCUUAGGGCAGGUAGGGGACAGGAGAGAGCUUAGGGCAAGUAGGGGACAGGAGAGAGCUUAGGGCAGGUAGGGUACAGGUCUGUGCUGAUGGAGGACGAUAGCACCCAACAACAGGUCAACAAAGAGCUAUUUGAAAGUUUAAUGCUUAAAACCAACAAAUCAAAUUAUUUGGGGACAGACUUGGUGGAGACAACCGAGCACUGAAGGUAAAGACUUGCCACUCCACCACCUUUGGAAGAUCUGUCUUGCCGAAAAAGGUUCUAACCAGAAAGGUUAACAUCAGUAUUCAAAACACUCUUCCUUAACCACGUCAUCAUUAUAGGUUAACUCAUACAGGUACGUGGAUUGAUUGAUUAAGCGAUUGAUUGAUCGGUUGAGCACUUGAUGACAUUUAUUGUCCUUCGAAAGGAAAUCCUUUUGCUCACAUGUUACACAAAAGUUUCACAAGUUUAUUUAGUCACAGUCACAGUUGGGGGUGGGGGAGUCCAGACAAUUUCAGUGCAUUAAUUUGUUUUUAUACUCAAUAGUGUGAUACUUGUGAUACUGACUACAGUGUUGUCAUGUAGGUCUAACUAAAUGUUGGUUCUGU